rnacentral:rRNA from 1 species
UACGAAGGGGGCUAGCGUUGCUCGGAAUCACUGGGCGUAAAGGGCGCGUAGGCGGCGUUUUAAGUCGGGGGUGAAAGCCUGUGGCUCAACCACAGAAUUGCCUUCGAUACUGGGACGCUUGAGUGUGGUAGAGGUUGGUGGAACUGCGAGUGUAGAGGUGAAAUUCGUAGAUAUUCGCAAGAACACCGGUGGCGAGGGCGGCCAACUGGACCAUCACUGACGCUGAGGCGCGAAAGCGUGGGGAGCAAACAGG